rnacentral:rRNA from 1 species
UACGAAGGGGGACUACGUUGUCGUGAAUCACUGGGCGUAAAGCGCACGUAGGCGGAUUUGUAAGUCAGGGGUGAAAUCCCGGGGCUCAACCUCGGAACUGCCUUUGAUACUGCGAAUCUCGAGUCCGAUAGAGGUGGGUGGAAUUCCUAAUGUAGAGGUGAAAUUCGUAGAUAUUAGGAAGAACACCGGUGGCGAAGGCGGCCCACUGGAUCGGUACUGACGCUGAGGUGCGAAAGCGUGGGGAGCAAACAGG